GAGUUUGAUCCUGGCUCAGAACGAACGCUGGCGGCGUGCUUAACACAUGCAAGUCAGGGAGAAAGUCUCUUCGGGGAUGAUUAAACCGGCGCACGGGUGAGUAACACGUGAGUGACCUGCCUUUUAGACUGGAACAACUUACCGAAAGGUGAGCUAAUGCCGGAUGAGUUAUAUAAGUGCAUGUUUAUAUAGGAAAAGUUGGGGAGACCUGACGCUGAAAGAUGGACUCGCGUCCCAUUAGCUAGUUGGUAGGGUAAUGGCCUACCAAGGCGACGAUGGGUAGCCGGCCUGAGAGGGUGGCCGGCCACACUGGGACUGAGACACGGCCCAGACUCCUACGGGAGGCAGCAGUGGGGAAUUUUGCGCAAUGCUCGUAAGAGUGACGCAGCGACGCCGCGUGAAUGACGAAGGCCUUCGGGUCGUAAAGUUCUUUCGACAGGGAAGAAAAUGCCUAUAAGUAACUGUGUAUGUAUUGACGGUACCUGUAUAAGCAGCCCCGGCUAACUCCGUGCCAGCAGCCGCGGUAAUACGGAGGGGGCGAGCGUUGUUCGGAGUGACUGGGCGUAAAGAGCACGU
rnacentral:rRNA from 1 species